rnacentral:rRNA from 1 species
UACGUAGGGUGCAAGCGUUGUCCGGAAUUAUUGGGCGUAAAGAGCUCGUAGGCGGUUCGUCACGUCGGCUGUGAAAUCCCGAGGCUCAACCUCGGGUCUGCAGUCGAUACGGGCGGACUGGAGUACUGCAGGGGAGACUGGAAUUCCUGGUGUAGCGGUGAAAUGCGCAGAUAUCAGGAGGAACACCGGUGGCGAAGGCGGGUCUCUGGGCAGUAACUGACGCUGAGGAGCGAAAGCAUGGGGAGCGAACAGG